UACGGAGGAUGCGAGCGUUAUCCGGAAUCAUUGGGUUUAAAGGGUGCGUAGGCUGGUAUUUAAGUCAGUGGUGACAUUUUCGUGCUUAACAUGAGAGCUGCCAUUGAUACUGGAUACCUUGAGUGUAUUUGAUGUGGGCGGAAUGUGUUGUGUAGCGGUGAAAUGCAUAGAUAUGACACAGAACACCGAUAGCGAAGGCAGCUCAACAAAGUUACAACUGACGCUGAUGCACGAAAGCGUGGGGAUCAAACAGG
rnacentral:rRNA from 1 species